rnacentral:rRNA from 1 species
AGUUAUCGUUUAUUUGAUAGUACCUUACUACUUGGAUAACCGUGGUAAUUCUAGAGCUAAUACAUGCUGAAAACCCCAACUUCGGGAGGGGUGUAUAUAUUAGAUAAAAAACCAACGCCCUUCGGGGCUUCUUGGUGAUUCAUGAUAUCUUUACGGAUCGCAUGGCCUUGCGCCGGCGACGGUUCAUUCAAAUUUCUGCCCUAUCAACUUUCGAUGGUAAGGUAUUGGCUUACCAUGGUUUCAACGGGUAACGGGGAAUUAGGGUUCGAUUCCGGAGAGGGAGCCUGAGAAACGGCUACCACAUCCAAGGAAGGCAGCAGGCGCGCAAAUUACCCAAUCCCGACACGGGGAGGUAGUGACAAUAAAUACUGAUACAGGGCUCUUUUGGGUCUUGUAAUUGGAAUGAGUACAAUUUAAACCUCUUAACGAGGAACAAUUGGAGGGCAAGUCUGGUGCCAGCAGCCGCGGUAAUUCCAGCUCCAAUAGCGUAUAUUAAAGUUGUUGCAGUUAAAAAGCUCGUAGUUGAACCUUGGGUCUGGCUGGCAGGUCCGCCUCACCGCGUGUACUUGUCCGGCCGGGCCUUCCUUCUGGAGAACCUCAUGCCCUUCACUGGGCGUGUUGGGGACCAGGACUUUUACUUUGAAAAAAUUAGAGUGUUCAAAGCAGGCCUUUGCUCGAAUACGUUAGCAUGGAAUAAUAGAAUAGGACGUGCGGUCCUAUUUUGUUGGUUUCUAGGACCGCCGUAAUGAUUAAUAGGGACAGUCGGGGGCAUCAGUAUUCAAUUGUCAGAGGUGAAAUUCUUGGAUUUAUUGAAGACUAACUACUGCGAAAGCAUUUGCCAAGGAUGUUUUCAUUAAUCAGUGAACGAAAGUUAGGGGAUCGAAGACGAUCAGAUACCGUCGUAGUCUUAACCGUAAACUAUGCCGACUAGGGAUCGGGCGAUGUUCUUUUUCUGACUCGCUCGGCACCUUACGAGAAAUCAA